CUAUUGCUUAUCCCCUUACGGUAGAUUGCAUUGAAUCCAAAUAUGGUAAUAUCGCCGUACUUUUACUUUCAUUUUGAUAAGUUUUUACACGUUGUUGACAAGUAAAAUUAUGAGAAAUGCAGUUAAUGAUUACAACAUGGAAUCCAUCCUUAAACAGGAAGCAUAGCAGUUAUACGUUUCCAUGUGAACCGGUUCAUUACCCCUGGCAUCUAUAUAUGGAUACGCCAAUUAGUGUAUGAAUGUAGAAAUGCACGUGCAGUAUGAAAUAAGCAUAGGUUUUAACACACGAAUGUGUACAUACAUGUACACAUAAUUUAUACAUGUGUGCGACAUUAAACUUUCAUCUGUUUUUGACGGUUAAAUUUAGCAGUUAAGUUAUUAAGUAAUUUUGAUAUUUGACAUUUAAACAUUUUAAGUUUACCGACUGUGAAGUUUGAAGUUUAUACAGUGCAUGUCGGGGGAAAAUGGGAUACUGAAGUUUUCUGUAAUGCUUCACCUCAAAUAGCGUUGUUCGAUUUUUACAGGUUCUUAUGUUUUGAAACAUCUAAACGUCAAAUGUGUUGUCAAAAUAAGCUGACAUACACUUCUUAAGCUAUGAAAACAUCAUGCAGCUUCAUGCAAAUUUUUUAUUCAUUAUACCAUACCCUAAUUAAAGACACCCUCAAUAAAUUUUGAAUUUCA